rnacentral:rRNA from 1 species
GAUGAACGCUGGCGGCGUGCUUAACACAUGCAAGUCGAACGGAAAGGCUCCUUCUUGCAGGGGUCGUCGACUGGCGAACGGGGGAGUAACACGUGGGUGAUCUGUCCUGCACUUCGGGGGAAGCUUAGGAAACUUGGUCUAAUACCGGCAAGGACUUUUGGUUGGAUGCCAUUGUGGAAAGGUUUUACGGUGUGGGAUGGGCUCGCGGCGUAUCAGAUUGUUGGUGUGGUAAUGGCCGACCAAGGCGUCGGCCGGGAGCCGGCCUGGGAGGGGGUGCGGCCACAUUAGGACGGAGAUACGGCCCAGCCUCGUCCGCGACGCAGCGGAGGGGAAUAGUACACAAUAGGCGGAACCAUGAUGUAGCGCCGCCGCGUGGGGGAUGACAGCCUUCGGGUUGUAUUCUACUUCCGCUAUGGCCGAAGCGAAAGUGACGGUACCUGGAGAAGAAGCACCGGCUAACUCCGUG